rnacentral:rRNA from 1 species
GAUGAACGCUGGCGGCGUGCCUAAUACAUGCAAGUCGAGCGAACAGACGAGGAGCUUGCUCCUCUGACGUUAGCGGCGGACGGGUGAGUAACACGUGGAUAACCUACCUAUAAGACUGGGAUAACUUCGGGAAACCGGAGCUAAUACCGGAUAAUAUAUUGAACCGCAUGGUUCAAUAGUGAAAGACGGUUUUGCUGUCACUUAUAGAUGGAUCCGCGCCGCAUUAGCUAGUUGGUAAGGUAACGGCUUACCAAGGCAACGAUGCGUAGCCAACCUGAGAGGGUGAUCGGCCACACAGGAACUGAGACACGGUCCAGACUCCUACGGGAGGCAGAAGUAGGGAAUCUUACGAAAUGGGCGAAAGCCUGACGGAGCAACGCCGCGUGAGUCAUGAAGGUCUUCGGAUCGGAAAACUCUGUUAUUAGGGAAGAACAAAUGUGUAAGUAACUAUGCACGUCUUGACGGUACCUAAUCAGAAAGCCACGGCUAACUACGUG